rnacentral:SRP_RNA from 2 species
GCCGGGCGCGGUGGCGCGUGCCUGUAGUCCCAGCUACUCGGGAGGCUGAGGCUGGAGGAUCGCUUGAGUCCAGGAGUUCUGGGCUGUAGUGCGCUAUGCCGAUCGGGUGUCCGCACUAAGUUCGGCAUCAAUAUGGUGACCUCCCGGGAGCGGGGGACCACCAGGUUGCCUAAGGAGGGGUGAACCGGCCCAGGUCGGAAACGGAGCAGGUCAAAACUCCCGUGCUGAUCAGUAGUGGGAUCGCGCCUGUGAAUAGCCACUGCACUCCAGCCUGGGCAACAUAG